rnacentral:rRNA from 1 species
UCAAGCGAACAAGUGCAUGUGGUGGAUGCCUUGGCGAUCACAGGCGAUGAAGGACGCGGUAGCCUGCGAAAAGCUACGGGGAGCUGGCAAACGAGCUUUGAUCCGUAGAUGUCCGAAUGGGGAAACCCGGCCCUUUUGGGUCAUCCUGGACUGAAUACAUAGGUCCAGUGAAGCGAACGCGGUGAACUGAAACAUCUAAGUAACCGCAGGAAAAGAAAUCAACCGAGAUUCCCAAAGUAGUGGCGAGCGAAAUGGGAUGAGCCUUGCACUCUUUAUUUGUAUUGUUAGCCGAACGCUCUGGAAAGUGCGGCCAUAGCAGGUGAUAGCCCUGUAGGCGAAAACAGUAUGAAAGAACUAGGUGUGCGACAAGUAGGGCGGGACACGUGAAAUCCUGUCUGAAGAUGGGGGGACCAUCCUCCAAGGCUAAAUACUCGUGAUCGACCGAUAGUGAACCAGUACCGUGAGGGAAAGGCGAAAAGAACCCCGGGAGGGGAGUGAAAUAGAUCCUGAAACCGCAUGCAUACAAACAGUCGGAGCCUCGCAAGGGGUGACGGCGUACCUUUUGUAUAAUGGGUCAGCGACUUACGUUCAGUAGCAAGCUUAACCGUAUAGGGAAGGCGUAGCGACAGCGAGUCCGAAUAGGGCGUUCAGUUGCUGGGCGUAGACCCGAAACCAGGUGAUCUAUCCAUGGCCAGGAUGAAGGUGCGGUAACACGUACUGGAGGUCCGAACCCACUAACGUUGAAAAGUUAGGGGAUGAGCUGUGGAUAGGGGUGAAAGGCUAAACAAACCUGGAAAUAGCUGGUUCUCUCCGAAAACUAUUUAGGUAGUGCCUCGUGUCUCACCUUCGGGGGUAGAGCACUGUCAUGGUUGGGGGGUCUAUUGCAGAUUACCCCGCCAUAGCAAACUCCGAAUACCGAAGAGUGCAAUCACGGGAGACAGACAUCGGGUGCUAACGUCCGGUGUCAAGAGGGAAACAACCCAGACCGCCAGCUAAGGUCCCCAAAUAUAGCUAAGUGGGAAACGAAGUGGGAAGGCUAAAACAGUCAGGAGGUUGGCUUAGAAGCAGCCACCCUUUAAAGAAAGCGUAAUAGCUCACUGAUCGAGUCGUCCUGCGCGGAAGAUGUAACGGGGCUAAGCUAUAUACCGAAGCUGCGGAUGCGAGCUUGCUCGCAUGGUAGGAGAGCGUUCCGUAAGCCUGCGAAGGUGCCUUGUAAAGGGUGCUGGAGGUAUCGGAAGUGCGAAUGCUGACAUGAGUAGCGAUAAAGGGGGUGAAAGGCCCCCUCGCCGUAAGCCCAAGGUUUCCUACGCAACGUUCAUCGGCGUAGGGUGAGUCGGCCCCUAAGGCGAGGCAGAAAUGCGUAGCUGAUGGGAAGCAGGUCAAUAUUCCUGCACCAUUGUUAGAUGCGAUGGGGGGACGGAUCGCGGAAGGUUGUCCGGGUGUUGGAAGUCCCGGUCGCUGCAUUGGAGAAGGCGCUUAGGCAAAUCCGGGCGCGCAAUUCAAGGGUGUGGCGCGAGCUCCUUAGGGAGCGAAGCAAUUGGAAGUGGUUCCAAGAAAAGCCUCUAAGCUUCAGUCUAACGAUGACCGUACCGCAAACCGACACAGGUGGGCGAGAUGAGUAUUCUAAGGCGCUUGAGAGAACUCGGGAGAAGGAACUCGGCAAAUUGGUACCGUAACUUCGGGAUAAGGUACGCCCUUGUAGCUUGACUGGCCUGCGCCAGGAGGGUGAAGGGGUUGCAAUAAACUGGUGGCUGCGACUGUUUAAUAAAAACACAGCACUCUGCAAACACGAAAGUGGACGUAUAGGGUGUGACGCCUGCCCGGUGCCGGAAGAUUAAAUGAUGGGGUGCAAGCUCUUGAUUGAAGUCCCGGUAAACGGCGGCCGUAACUAUAACGGUCCUAAGGUAGCGAAAUUCCUUGUCGGGUAAGUUCCGACCUGCACGAAUGGCGUAACGAUGGCCACACUGUCUCCUCCCGAGACUCAGCGAAGUUGAAGUGUUUGUGAUGAUGCAAUCUACCCGCGGCUAGACGGAAAGACCCCAUGAACCUUUACUGUAGCUUUGCAUUGGACUUUGAACCGAUCUGUGUAGGAUAGGUGGGAGGCUAUGAAACCGGAACGCUAGUUUCGGUGGAGCCGUCCUUGAAAUACCACCCUGGUUUGUUUGAGGUUCUAACCUUGGCCCGUGAUCCGGGUCGGGGACAGUGCAUGGUAGGCAGUUUGACUGGGGCGGUCUCCUCCCAAAGCGUAACGGAGGAGUACGAAGGUACGCUAGGUACGGUCGGAAAUCGUGCUGAUAGUGCAAUGGCAUAAGCGUGCUUAACUGCGAGACCGACAAGUCGAGCAGGUGCGAAAGCAGGUCAUAGUGAUCCGGUGGUUCUGUAUGGAAGGGCCAUCGCUCAACGGAUAAAAGGUACUCUGGGGAUAACAGGCUGAUACCGCCCAAGAGUUCAUAUCGACGGCGGUGUUUGGCACCUCGAUGUCGGCUCAUCUCAUCCUGGGGCUGUAGCCGGUCCCAAGGGUAUGGCUGUUCGCCAUUUAAAGAGGUACGUGAGCUGGGUUUAAAACGUCGUGAGACAGUUUGGUCCCUAUCUGCCGUGGGCGUUGGAUAUUUGAAGGGGGCUGCUCCUAGUACGAGAGGACCGGAGUGGACGAACCUCUGGUGUACCGGUUGUCACGCCAGUGGCAUCGCCGGGUAGCUAUGUUCGGAAGAGAUAACCGCUGAAAGCAUCUAAGCGGGAAACUCGCCUUAAGAUGAGAUAUCCCUGGGGACUAGAUCCCCUUGAAGGGUCGUUCGAGACCAGGACGUUGAUAGGUCAGGUGUGUAAGCGCAGUAAUGCGUUCAGCUAACUGAUACUAAUUGCCCGUAAGGCUUGAUCC